AACGAACGCUGGCGGCAUGCCUAACACAUGCAAGUCGAACGAGACCUUCGGGUCUAGUGGCGCACGGGUGCGUAACGCGUGGGAACCUGCCUUUAGGUUCGGAAUAACUCAGGGAAAUGUGAGCUAAUACCGGAUGAUGUCUUCGGACCAAAGAUUUAUCGCCUUUAGAUGGGCCCGCGUUGGAUUAGCUAGUUGGUGGGGUAAAGGCCUACCAAGGCGACGAUCCAUACCUGGUCUGAGAGGAUGAUCAGCCACACUGGGACUGAGACACGGCCCAGACUCCUACGGGAGGCAGCAGUGGGGAAUAUUGGACCAUGGGCGAAAGCCUGAUCCAGCAAUGCCGCGUGAGUGAUGAAGGCCUUAGGGUUGUAAAGCUCUUUUACCCGAGAUGAUAAUGACAGUAUCGGGAGAAUAAGCUCCGGCUAACUCCGUG
rnacentral:rRNA from 1 species